rnacentral:rRNA from 1 species
UGAGUGUGAGGUAGGCGGAAUGCGUUNUGUAGNNNUGAAAUNCAUAGAUAUGACGCAGAACUCCGAUAGCGAAGGCAGCUUACCAACACUUUACGGACGCUGANNNAUGAAAGCGUGGGUAUCGAACAGGAUUAGAUACCGUGGUAGUCCAUGCAGUAAACGAUGAAUACUAAUUGUUCGGGGGGCAACCCUUGAGUGAUACAGCGAAAGUGUUAAGUAUUCCACGUGGGGAGUACGCCGGCAACGGUGAAACUCAAAGGAAUUGACGGGGGCCCGCACAAGCGGAGGAACAUGUGGUUUAAUUCGAUGAUACGCGAGGAACCUUACCCGGGCUCAAACGUUGGGGGAAUGCUCCUGAAAGGGAGCAGCCAGCAAUGGUCGCCAACGAGGUGCUGCAUGGUUGUCAUCAGCUCGUGCCGUGAGGUGUCGGCUUAAGUGCCAUAACGAGCGCAACCCCUGCGUCCAGUUACCAUCAAGUCAUGUUGGGGACUCUGGACGGACUGCCGGCGCAAGCCGUGAGGAAGGCGGGGAUGACGUCAAAUCAGCACGG